rnacentral:rRNA from 1 species
UACGUAGGGUGCAAGCGUUGUCCGGAAUUAUUGGGCGUAAAGAGCUCGUAGGCGGUCUGUCGCGUCUGCUGUGAAAACUCAGGGCUUAACCCUGAGCUUGCAGUGGGUACGGGCAGACUAGAGUGCGGUAGGGGAGACUGGAAUUCCUGGUGUAGCGGUGAAAUGCGCAGAUAUCAGGAGGAACACCGGUGGCGAAGGCGGGUCUCUGGGCCGAUACUGACGCUGAGAAGCGAAAGCGUGGGGAGCGAACAGG